CUACUCUUGACAUCCAGAGAACUUUCCAGAGAUGCAUUGGUGCCUUCGGGAACUCUGAGACAGGUGCUGCAUGGCUGUCGUCAGCUCGUGUUGUGAAAUGUUGGGUUAAGUCCCGCAACGAGCGCAACCCUCGCCUUUAGUUGCCAGCAUUUAGUUGGGCACUCUAGAGGGACUGCCGGUGAUAAGCCGGAGGAAGGUGGGGAUGACGUCAAGUCCUCAUGGCCCUUACGGGCUGGGCUACACACGUGCUACAAUGGUGGUGACAGUGGGCAGCGAAACCGCGAGGUCUAGCUAAUCUCCAAAAGCCAUCUCAGUUCGGAUUGCACUCUGCAACUCGAGUGCAUGAAGUUGGAAUCGCUAGUAAUCGCAGAUCAGAAUGCUGCGGUGAAUA
rnacentral:rRNA from 1 species